CAGUUACUUGGCACACAAAAAUUUAUAUGAAUCCUCUGUGGUACUGGGCAACUUUCCAAGGCAGCUGUCAUCCACAUGAUGACUCAGCAAUUCAGACCACUUUAAUCUUUUUGUCUGUGAAGUCCAUGUAAGACCUCCAUGUUCUUGAGAAAAAACAAAAUAAAAUAAUUUAACUAAUCUUCAACAGGUGGGCCACAGUACCUAUUCUACAGCAUGUGCAAAUUUACUCAAUGAUCCAAAAUUCCAUGAAGUUGCUACACCCAGUGUUAC
rnacentral:lncRNA from 1 species